rnacentral:rRNA from 1 species
UACGUAGGGGGCAAGCGUUGUCCGGAUUUACUGGGCGUAAAGCGCGCGUAGGCGGAUGUUUAAGUGUGGCCUGAAAGCCCCCGGCUCAACCGGGGAGGGUGGCUGCAAACUGGGCAUCUUGAGGGGGAUAGAGGAGAGUGGAAUUCCGGGUGUAGCGGUGAAAUGCGUAGAUAUCUGGAGGAAUACCGGUGCGGCAGGACG